rnacentral:rRNA from 1 species
GCGGCGUGCUUAACACAUGCAAGUCGAGCGGUAAGGCCCUUUCGGGGUACACGAGCGGCGAACGGGUGAGUAACACGUGGGUGAUCUGCCUCGUACUCUGGGAUAAGCCUGGGAAACUGGGUCUAAUACCGGAUAUGACCACGAGUCGCAUGGUUUGUGGUGGAAAGAUUUAUCGGUGCGAGAUGGGCCCGCGGCCUAUCAGCUUGUUGGUGGGGUAAUGGCCUACCAAGGCGACGACGGGUAGCCGGCCUGAGAGGGCGACCGGCCACACUGGGACUGAGACACGGCCCAGACUCCUACGGGAGGCAGCAGUGGGGAAUAUUGCACAAUGGGCGGAAGCCUGAUGCAGCGACGCCGCGUGCGGGAUGACGGCCUUCGGGUUGUAAACCGCUUUCGACAGGGACGAAGCGUGAGUGACGGUACCUGUAGAAGAAGCACCGGCCAACUACGUGCCAGCAGCCGCGGUAAUACGUAGGGUGCGAGCGUUGUCCGGAAUUACUGGGCGUAAAGAGCUUGUAGGCGGUUUGUCGCGUCGUUCGUGAAAACUUGGGGCUCAACCCCAAGCUUGCGGGCGAUACGGGCAGACUAGAGUACUGCAGGGGAGACUGGAAUUCCUGGUGUAGCGGUGAAAUGCGCAGAUAUCAGGAGGAACACCGGUGGCGAAGGCGGGUCUCUGGGCAGUAACUGACGCUGAGAAGCGAAAGCGUGGGUAGCGAACAGGAUUAGAUACCCUGGUAGUCCACGCCGUAAACGGUGGGUACUAGGUGUGGGUUUCCUUCCACGGGAUCCGUGCCGUAGCUAACGCAUUAAGUACCCCGCCUGGGGAGUACGGCCGCAAGGCUAAAANUCA